UCCAAUAGUGCAAAGCUUGCGUUUAAGCAUAAUUGAUGCUGUCAGACAAAUUCUAUUAGGAUUCAACUAGCGAGAUAUCGAAUUCUGGGUUAGUUUAACACCUUUGCGACCCGAACUAGUUGUCAGGGUGUUUUUUUUUCGACGAACAAAAAUAAUUUUCUAUUUGAAAAAAAUCUCUUGCAAUCACAAGUUUUUCUGGUAAGCCUUCCGGUUAAUUUAGCCAUUUGUCGCACACGGAAGUGACCACAAGAUCCUGGAUAUAUAUAUAUGUGUAUGUAUAGAUAUGUUUUGACAGCCGACGGUGAGCGAAGUCGCGGUAUUCAAGGAAACAGGAGUCUCAGUCUCCUGUCACAAUACUGCAUACGAAAGCUGACGCUGUAAGAUAUGCAAGCUGAGAUAGGAGGUGGAUAAGUUCGUGAAGUGGUAAUCAACAUUACGCGAAACACUGAUGCCAGGAAAAAUAUAUGCGCCAAAGAUGCAAACGAUCUUCACAAAACGGGCCCAGCAUUAGAUAUCGUCGCUGAUCGCGUGUACGUGGAACACGAGUUAGAGCGAAACGGGUGGUCAGUGGCUGGGAACCUUUCGAGAUGUGGGCGGAAUCUCAUUGAAGAGGAAAACCAAUUUUUGGUCACGUUUAUUGAUAGUGGACAUCGCUACGAAGAUUCGACACGCAACGUUUUCAAUAUCAAGAAGAUCCGGCUCUUUUCAGACUGGACGUCGACGUCGCUGCCAGCAGUGGGAUAUUGGCUGAUCGAUGAAACAAGUGGAGUUCGCUGGA